rnacentral:rRNA from 1 species
UACGGGGGGGGCAAGCGUUGUUCGGAAUUACUGGGCGUAAAGGGCUCGUAGGUGGUCAACUAAGUCGGACGUGAAAUCCCUCGGCUUAACCGGGGAACUGCGUCCGAUACUGGAUGACUUGAGUUCGGGAGAGGGAUGCGGAAUUCCAGGUGUAGCGGUGAAAUGCGUAGAUAUCAUCAGGAACACCGGAGGCGAAGGCGGCUCACUGGGGGUCUUCUGACGCUGAGGAACGAAAGCCAGGGGAGCGAACGGG